UACGAGGGGGGCAAGCGUUGUUCGGAAUUAUUGGGCGUAAAGGGCGCGUAGGCGGUUUGACAAGUCUGAUGUGAAAUCUAUGGGCUCAACCCAUAGCCUGCAUUAGAAACUGUCGGGCUUGAGUAUGGGAGAGGUGAGUGGAAUUUCCGGUGUAGCGGUGAAAUGCGUAGAUAUCGGAAGGAACGCCUGUGGCGAAAGCGGCUCACUGGACCAUAACUGACGCUGAGGCGCGAAAGCUAGGGGAGCAAACAGG
rnacentral:rRNA from 1 species